rnacentral:rRNA from 1 species
AGUGAACGCUGGCGGUAGGCCUAACACAUGCAAGUCGAACGGCAGCACAGUAAGAGCUUGCUCUUACGGGUGGCGAGUGGCGGACGGGUGGGGAAUACAUCGGAAUCUACUUUUUCGUGGGGGAUAACGUAGGGAAACUUACGCUAAUACCGCAUACGACCUACGGGUGAAAGCAGGGGAUCUUCGGACCUUGCGCGAUUGAAUGAGCCGAUGUCGGGUUAGCUAGUUGGCGGGGUAAAGGCCCACCAAGGCGACGAUCCGUAGCUGGUCUGAGAGGAUGAUCAGCCACACUGGAACUGAGACACGGUCCAGACUCCUACGGGAGGCAGCAGUGGGGAAUAUUGGACAAUGGGCGCAAGCCUGAUCCAGCCAUACCGCGUGGGUGAAGAAGGCCUUCGGGUUGUAAAGCCCUUUUGUUGGGAAAGAAAAGCAGCAGGUUAAUACCCCGCUGUUCUGACGGUACCCAAAGAAUAAGCACCGGCUAACUUCGUG